rnacentral:misc_RNA from 1 species
AAGUCGUAACAAGGUUUCCGUAGGUGAACCUGCGGAAGGAUCAUUAACACGUAUCCACGUACCAACCCCUAGUGUCACUGUUGAGCGCGAGCCGGUCAAACUUUUAGUUGACCGUAUGCUGCAAAUCAAUUCGUUUUGAUUUGUUGCGCGUGCUCAGUUUUCUCUCUUUGUUUUCCAUUGAAUUUAACCACUUGAACCCAUCAGACUAAAACCAUUUCGAGUUUUGCUUGCAAAACCGAAACAAUAAAAUAACAAGAAACAACUCUUAGCGACGGAUUUCUUGGCUCCC